UACGUAGGGGGCAAGCGUUGUCCGGAAUUAUUGGGCGUAAAGCGCGCGCAGGCGGUCCUUUAAGUCUGAUGUGAAAGCCCACGGCUUAACCGUGGAGGGUCAUUGGAAACUGGAGGACUUGAGUGCAGAAGAGGAGAGUGGAAUUCCACGUGGAGCGGUGAAAUGCGUAGAGAUGUGGAGGAACACCAGUGGCGAAGGCGACUCUCUGGUCUGUAACUGACGCUGAGGCGCGAAAGCGUGGGUAGCGAACAGG
rnacentral:rRNA from 1 species